UUCCAGCUAUACAAAAGCUGAAGCUCUCUCCUCGCCCUGCGCAUGAUGUCUGGGUCAGGUGUAUCUACUGUCCGUGUGAGACAGGUGACGACAGACGAGGUGUCCCCAGCUGCUUGUGGUAUGCCUCUGAAUGAUGGAACCGAGAUUCCCGACAACUUUGAUGAUAUGUCACCCUCCAGGGGGAAAACGUGAACAUAAUGCAGCAUAUGGAAACACCAAUGGAGGAGAGCGUUUGUCAAUGUCGGUAUUGUUUUCACUUAUGUAAAGUAAUAAUAAAUACUUCUUCAAGUUUACUUAACAUAUGCUUUGCUCUUUGUUCUGUGCUUUUUAUCACAUAAAAGUCUGGAGCACUACCUAUCAGCAAUGGGUAAGUAUUAGCCGGUUGCUAGAACUAACAUGCUUUGUGUGUAGCAAGUUGGAGCUUUGUGUGUAUUGGGCGUGAGGUAUGCAAGGGUGUGAGGUAUGCAAGGGCGAGUGUGUCAUAAUGUCAGGACUUGUCUUUUCUUCAGGAUAAACAUUCCAUAAUAAAUGCAGCAAUACACCAGGGUAAGCUGAGAAAUGAAAGGAUUUGCCUUGUGACUUAACGUUUGCUCACAUUGGUCGGCGUGUAUCAUUGCUAAUUGCAAAAUAUUAGUCAUAAGGCAUAUCCUUUCAGAUCCGUGUCUGAUAUUGUAGUGAGAUAUUUACAUUUUAAGCCACAACUACAACCACAAGCGCUGCCACAACGCCGUCAACGUGCGGCCCUAUGGCUGAUGCCUCUCUGAACCAGGACUGCUCCAACGCUAGAUGCGUGGCCGUCAACAGCUCAUGUGUGACAACGUCAGCCGGAAACCGCAGAUGUGCCUGUAUUAACAAGAACGUACAGAUAUCUCCUACAGGAUGCUCAAUGGGGCCCAGUAUUCUGUCAAGUAACAAAACAUCCGUCUUCGCCACAGAUCUAUCAAGAACAUCACAAGAUGGUAAG